CCAAUAGCGUAUAUUAAAGUUGUUGCAGUUAAAAAGCUCGUAGUUGAACUUCGGGGUUUACUUAUUGGUCAGGCUUAAUUGUCUGCACUGGUGAGAUGAAUCUCUACCUUCUGAGGAACUUUCAUGCCAUUUAUUUGGUGUGAUUGGAAAUCAGGACUGUUACUUUGAAAAAAUUAGAGUGUUUAAAGCAGGCUAACGUCUGAAUACAUUAGCAUGGAAUACUGAAAUAGGUAGGACUGAUUCUAUUUCGUUGGUUUCUAGGAUCACCGUAAUGAUUAAUCGGGAUAGUUGGGGGCAUUAGUAUUCAAUUGUCAGAGGUGAAAUUCUUGGAUUUAUUGAAGACUAACUACUGCGAAAGCAUUUGCCAAGGAUGUUUUCAUUAAUCAAGAACGAAAGUUAGGGGAUCGAAGACGAUCAGAUACCGUCGUAGUCUUAACCAUAAACUAUGCCGACUAGGGAUCGGACGAAGUUAAUUGUAUAAUGACGCGUUCGGCGCCUUACG
rnacentral:misc_RNA from 1 species